AACGAACGCUGGCGGCAUGCCUAACACAUGCAAGUCGAACGAGACCUUCGGGUCUAGUGGCGCACGGGUGCGUAACGCGUUGGAACCUGCCCUUAGGUUCGGAAUAACUCCCCGAAAGGGGUGCUAAUACCGGAUAAUGUCUUCGGACCAAAGAUUUAUCGCCUUUGGAUGGGCCCGCGUUGGAUUAGCUAGUUGGUAGGGUAAAAGCCUACCAAGGCGACGAGCCAUAGCUGGUCUGAGAGGAUGAUCAGCCACACUGGGACUGAGACACGGCCCAGACUCCUACGGGAGGCAGCAGUGGGGAAUAUUGGACAAUGGGCGAAAGCCUGAUCCAGCAAUGCCGCGUGAGUGAUGAAGGCCUUAGGGUUGUAAAGCUCUUUUACCCGGGAUGAUAAUGACAGUACCGGGAGAAUAAGCUCCGGCUAACUACGUG
rnacentral:rRNA from 1 species